rnacentral:miRNA from 1 species
AUACAGAUGAGGUGUUUUGUC